UGGUGGGGUUCCCGAGCGGCCAAAGGGAGCAGACUGUAAAUCUGCCGUCAUCGACUUCGAAGGUUCGAAUCCUUCCCCCACCNN
rnacentral:tRNA from 1 species